rnacentral:rRNA from 1 species
UACGAAGGGGGGCUAGCGUUGCUCGGAAUCACUGGACGUAAAGGGUGCGUAGGCGGGUCUUUAAGUCAGAGGUGAAAUCCUGGAGCUCAACUCCAGAACUGCCUUUGAUACUGAAGAUCUUGAGUUCGGGAGAGGUGAGUGGAACUGCGAGUGUAGAGGUGAAAUUCGUAGAUAUUCGCAAGAACACCAGUGGCGAAGGCGGCUCACUGGCCCGAUACUGACGCUGAGGCACGAAAGCGUGGGGAGCAAACAGGG